rnacentral:rRNA from 1 species
CAUAUCAAUAAGCGGAGGAAAAGAAACUAACAAGGAUUCCCCUAGUAACUGCGAGUGAACCGGGAAAAGCUCAAAUUUAAAAUCUGGCAGUCUUUUGGCUGUCCGAGUUGUAAUCUAGAGAAGCGUUAUCCGCGCUGGACCGUGUACAAGUCUCCUGGAAUGGAGCGUCAUAGAGGGUGAGAAUCCCGUCUUUGACACGGACUGCCAGGGCUUUGUGAUGCGCUCUCAAAGAGUCGAGUUGUUUGGGAAUGCAGCUCAAAAUGGGUGGUAAAUUCCAUCUAAAGCUAAAUAUUGGCGAGAGACCGAUAGCGAACAAGUACCGUGAGGGAAAGAUGAAAAGAACUUUGGAAAGAGAGUUAAACAGUACGUGAAAUUGCUGAAAGGGAAACGCUUGAAGUCAGUCGCGUUGGCCAGGGAUCAACCUUGCUUUUGCUUGGUGUACUUUCUGGUUGACGGGUCAGCAUCAAUUUUGACCAUUGGAAAAAGAUUAGGGGAAUGUGGCAUCUUCGGAUGUGUUAUAGCCCUUGGUUGCAUACAAUGGUUGGGAUUGAGGAACUCAGCACGCCGCAAGGCCGGGUUUUUUAACCACGUACGUGCUUAGGAUGCUGGCAUAAUGUCUUUAAUCGACCCGUCUUGAAACACGGACCAAGGAGUCUAACAUACCUGCGAGUGUUUGGGUGGAAAACCCGAGCGCGCAAUGAAAGUGAAAGUUGAGAUCCCUGUCGUGGGGAGCAUCGACGCCCGGACCAGACCUUUUGUGACGGUUCCGCGGUAGAGCAUGUAUGUUGGGACCCGAAAGAUGGUGAACUAUGCCUGAAUAGGGUGAAGCCAGAGGAAACUCUGGUGGAGGCUCGUAGCGAUUCUGACGUGCAAAUCGAUCGUCAAAUUUGGGUAUAGGGGCGAAAGACUAAUCGAACCAUCUAGUAGCUGG